UACGAAGGGGGCUAGCGUUGCUCGGAAUGACUGGGCGUAAAGGGCGCGUAGGCGGGUGGCACAGUCAGAUGUGAAAUUCCCGGGCUUAACCUGGGGGCUGCAUUUGAGACGUGUGACCUAGAGUGAGGAAGAGGGUCGUGGAAUUCCCAGUGUAGAGGUGAAAUUCGUAGAUAUUGGGAAGAACACCGGUGGCGAAGGCGGCGACCUGGUCCUUGACUGACGCUGAGGCGCGAAAGCGUGGGGAGCAAACAGG
rnacentral:rRNA from 1 species